rnacentral:rRNA from 1 species
GACGAACGCUGGCGGCGCGCUUAACACAUGCAAGUCGAGCGGUAAGGCCCUUUCGGGGGUACACGAGCGGCGAACGGGUGAGUAACACGUGGGUGACCUGCCCUCAGCUCUGGGAUAAGCCUGGGAAACCGGGUCUAAUACUGGAUAUGACUCCAUGACGCAUGUUGUGGGGUGGAAAGCCUUGUGCGGCUGAGGAUGGGCCCGCGGCCUAUCAGCUUGUUGGUGGGGUGAGGCCUACCAAGGCGACGACGGGUAGCCGGCCUGAGAGGGCGACCGGCCACACUGGGACUGAGACACGGCCCAGACUCCUACGGGAGGCAGCAGUGGGGAAUCUUGCGCAAUGGGCGAAAGCCUGACGCAGCGACGCCGCGUGAGGGAUGACGGCCU